rnacentral:rRNA from 1 species
UACGUAGGGCGCAAGCGUUGUCCGGAAUUAUUGGGCGUAAAGAGCUCGUAGGCGGUCUGUCGCGUCUGUUGUGAAAACUCGAGGCUCAACCUCGGGCUUGCAGUGGAUACGGGCAGACUAGAGUGCGGUAGGGGAGACUGGAAUUCCUGGUGUAGCGGUGAAAUGCGCAGAUAUCAGGAGGAACACCGGUGGCGAAGGCGGGUCUCUGGGCCGUAACUGACGCUGAGGAGCGAAAGCGUGGAGAGCGAACAGG